AUGCAGCACAGUACUCAUAUCUGUUCUUACCUGUCUUGGCUAAAUGUAAGUGUAUCAAAAUUUAAAGAAUUUAUGGUUUGUUUUCCUAUUAUUGUGAAACAUGCAGUUAAAACACAGAGUUUUUCAAAGGCUGAAUCAAGUCCUGCUCCUUUUCUGCUUUUGACUCUCUCCCCUCUCUGCAGGAGUCUGAAUACACCAAUGGGCGAACAGAGCAGUCCUCUACAGGUGGAUGUGGGGACGGAGGAAACAUCUGAGAGAAACCCUAACCAGAAUGACAGGGGAAAUACAGGAGUGAUAGAUUUUCUUCAAUGCUGCUGUCUGCUUCUACUGACCUUACUAUAUCUUUUGUUCCGAGCAAUGGUCAUCAUCACUCUCUGUGUGCUACCCAUCGCUGAGAUCGCCAUAGGCGCCUUGUAUCUGAAGGACUGUCCCUUCAAACCCUUUGUUCCCGUUUACCUGCUGGUGAUGGGAGUGUUCAGCCUGUUGCUGGGCCCUCUCCUCAUCGCCGCCCAGCUGACUGGGGAAAGGGCGCAAUGGCUGGGCGUGGCGGCAGUGAAACUGCUGUGCACUUUCCUGUUCUGCUGGAGCAGCGCAGGGAUAAAGUCCAUCAUGACCUUGGAGCCAAGUUACCUGGAGAGCAGUCUGGAAUAUUGCAACAAGACCCUCUUCGAAUUCACCAGUGGGAUCACUGCUGUGACGUUCGCAGUGGGGUUGCUGUGGUUUGUUUGGACCUGUGGGCCAGCAUCAUUAUUAUGUUUAGGGUCGUUUUUUACAGCAUUCAUCGAGUGAAAACCCCUUUCCUCUGUGUCCUUCAUACACACAGCUCUUCCACCUCUUCCCAAUGGCCCAGUGUGCACAGUGACAGCUUGCUGAAGCUCCACUGUCCACAGCUCCAUAUGUUGAACAAUCAGAAAUUGUGCCCUUGCACACUGUCAGCUAGGUGAGCUCUGGUGCUUCCUAGUGUAAUACUAUGUUAUCAUCCUAGUCUUUACAGCUUAGUUUGCUUUUUCAAUAAAAACAGCAUGAAAUCUGUUGUUUAGUUUUAUUAAAUUAAAUUUCAGUUUCAGCACGCUUGUCAUUUAUUUACCUGUAUAUAAAAAGCCACUUCUGUAAUAUCUAAUGUAACAUGAGCCUGAUGG
rnacentral:lncRNA from 1 species